UUAUAGGAUCAAGCGACUAAGUGCAUACGGUGGAUGCCUUGGCGACUACAGGCGAUGAAGGACGUUGUAGCCUGCGAUAAGCUGCGGUGAGCUGGCAAACAAGCUUUGACCCGCAGAUUUCCGAAUGGGGAAACCCACCCGCAAGGGUAUCUUUGACUGAAUACAUAGGUCAUUGAAGCGAACCGGGCGAACUGAAACAUCUCAGUAACUCGAGGAAAAGAAAUCAACCGAGAUUCCGAUAGUAGUGGCGAGCGAAAUCGGAACAGCCUGCAUAAUUUAGCAUUUGGUAUAGCAAAACGACAUGGAAAGGUCGGCCAUAGAAGGUGAUAGCCCUGUAUGUAAAAUGCCUUAUGUAGAACUAAGUAUGCGACAAGUAGGGCGGGACACGUGUAAUCCUGUCUGAACAUGGGGGGACCAUCCUCCAAGGCUAAAUACUCGUAGUCGACCGAUAGUGAACAAGUACCGUCGUAUGCAUACAAAAAGUCGGAGCCCUACGGGGUGACGGCGUACCUUUUGUAUAAUGGGUCAGCGACUUACAUUCAGUGGCAAGCUUAACCGAAUAGGGAAGGCGCAGGGAAACCGAGUCCGAAUAGGGCGUCUAGUCGCUGGGUGUAGACCCGAAACCGGAUGAUCUAUCCAUGGCCAGGAUGAAGGUGCGGUAACACGUACUGGAGGUCCGAACCGACUAGUGUUGCAAAACUAGCGGAUGAGCUGUGGAUAGGGGUGAAAGGCUAAACAAAUCCGGAAAUAGCUGGUUCUCCUCGAAAACUAUUUAGGUAGUGCCUCGCGUAUCACCGCCAGGGGUAGAGCACUGUUUUGGCUAGGGGGUCAUGACGACUUACCAAACCAAUGCAAACUCCGAAUACUGGUGAGUGCAGCGCGGGAGACAGUGCACCGGGUGCUAACGUCCGGACACAAGAGGGAAACAACCCAGACCGCCAGCUAAGGUCCCUAAAUAUAGCUAAGUGGGAAACGAAGUGGGAAGGCAUUGACAGUCAGGAGGUUGGCUUAGAAGCAGCCACCGAAGCUGCGGAUGUGCGUAAGCACAUGGUAGAGGAGCGUUCUGUAAGCCUGUGAAGGUGUGCUGAGAGGCAUGCUGGAGGUAUCAGAAGUGCGAAUGCUGACAUGAGUAGCGUUAAAAGAGGUGAAAAGCCUCUUCGCCGAAAGCGCAAGGUUUCCUACGCAACGUUCAUCGGCGUAGGGUGAGUCGGCCCCUAAGGCGAGGCAGAGAUGCGUAGUCGAUGGGAAACAGGUCAAUAUUCCUGUACCGAUGUCUAGUGCGAUGUGGGGACGGAGAAGGUUAAAUCAGCCGGGUGUUGGAUGUCCCGGUUCAAGUGUGUAGGCGUGCCCCUUAGGCAAAUCCGGGGGGCUUAGCUGAGGCAUGAUAACGAGGCAGCUUGCUGCUGAAGUGAUUGAUACCCUGCUUCCAAGAAAAGCCACUAAGCUUCAGCUAGACACGACCGUACCGCAAACCGACACUGGUGCGCGAGAUGAGUAUUCUAAGGCGCUUGAGAGAACUCGGGAGAAGGAACUCGGCAAAUUUGUACCGUAACUUCGGGAUAAGGUACGCCCCCGGUAUGUGAUGCCGUACAGGCUGAGCAGAAAGGGGCCGCAGUGAAAAGGUGGCUGCGACUGUUUAUUAAAAACACAGCACUCUGCAAACACGAAAGUGGACGUAUAGGGUGUGACGCCUGCCCGGUGCCGUCGGGUAAGUUCCGACCUGCACGAAUGGCGUAACGAUGGCCACACUGUCUCCUCCCGAGACUCAGCGAAGUUGAAAUGUUUGUGAUGAUGCAAUCUCCCCGCGGAAAGACGGAAAGACCCCAUGAACCUUUACUGUAGCUUUGCAUUGGAUUUUGAACAGAUCUGUGUAGGAUAGGUGGGAGGCUUUGAAGCGGUGCCGCUAGGUGUCGUGGAGCCAACCUUGAAAUACCACCCUGAUGUGUUUGAGGUUCUAACCCUGGACCGUGAAUCCGGUUCGGAGACAGUGCAUGGUGGGCAGUUUGACUGGGGCGGUCUCCUCCCAAAGCGUAACGGAGGAGUUCGAAGGUACGCUAGGCACGGUCGGAAAUCGUGCUGAUAGUGCAAUGGCAUAAGCGUGCUUAACUGCGAGACUGACAAGUCGAGCAGAUGCGAAAGCAGGACAUAGUGAUCCGGUGGUUCUGUAUGGAAGGGCCAUCGCUCAACGGAUAAAAGGUACUCUGGGGAUAACAGGCUGAUACCGCCCAAGAGUUCAUAUCGACGGCGGUGUUUGGCACCUCGAUGUCGGCUCAUCUCAUCCUGGGGCUGUAGCCGGUCCCAAGGGUAUGGCUGUUCGCCAUUUAAAGAGGUACGUGAGCUGGGUUUAAAACGUCGUGAGACAGUUUGGGUAGCUAAGUUCGGAAAAGAUAACCGCUGAAAGCAUAUAAGCGGGAAACUUGCCUCAAGAUAAGGCCUCCCUGGAGACUUGAUCUCCCUAAAGGGUCGUUGAAGACGACAACGUUGAUAGGCUGGGUGUGGAAGCGCAGUAAUGUGUUGAGCUAACCAGUACUAAUUGCCCGUGCGGCUUGAUCCUAUAA
rnacentral:rRNA from 1 species